rnacentral:rRNA from 1 species
GACGAAGGGGGCUAGCGUUGUUCGGAAUUACUGGGCGUAAAGCGCGUGUAGGCGGUUAUCCAAGUCGGGUGUGAAAGCCUAGAGCUCAACUCAAGAAAUGCACUCGGUACUGGGUGACUAGAGGACCGGAGAGGAUAGUGGAAUUCCCAGUGUAGUGGUGAAAUACGUAGAGAUUGGGAAGAACACCAGUGGCGAAGGCGGCUAUCUGGACGGUUUCUGACGCUAAGACGCGAAAGCGUGGGGAGCAAACAGG